UUUAAAUUAAACUAAUAAUUUAUAUUUUGAAAAUAUAAUUUAGAUUUUUAAAU
rnacentral:tRNA from 1 species